rnacentral:rRNA from 1 species
CAGCCGCCGCGGUAAUACGAAGGGGGCAAGCGUUGUUCGGAAUUACUGGGCGUAAAGGGCGCGUAGGCGGUGCACUAAGUCAGGCGUGAAAGCCCUGGGCUCAACCCGGGAAUUGCGCUUGAUACUGGUGCGCUUGAAUCCAGGAGAGGUUGGUGGAAUUCCCAGUGUAGAGGUGAAAUUCGUAGAGAUUGGGAAGAACACCGGUGGCGAAGGCGGCCAACUGGACUGGUAUUGACGCUGAGGCGCGAAAGCGUGGGGAGCAAACAGGAUUAGAUACCCCAGUAGUCCCUGUCUCUUAUAC